rnacentral:rRNA from 1 species
GAUGAGCGCUGGCGGCGUGCCUAAUACAUGCAAGUCGAGCGAACGGAUAAGGAGCUUGCUCCUUUGAAGUUAGCGGCGGACGGGUGAGUAACACGUGGGUAACCUACCUAUAAGACUGGAAUAACUUCGGGUAACCGGAGCUAAUGCCGGAUAACAUUUGGAACUGCAUGGUUCUAAAGUAAAAGAUGGUUUUGCUAUCACUUAUAGAUGGACCCGCGCCGUAUUAGCUAGUUGGUGAGGUAACGGCUUACCAAGGCAACGAUACGUAGCCGACCUGAGAGGGUGAUCGGCCACACUGGAACUGAGACACGGUCCAGACUCCUACGGGAGGCAGCAGUAGGGAAUCUUCUGCAAUGGACGAAAGUCUGACGGAGCAACGCCGCGUGAGUGAUGAAGGUUUUCGGAUCGUAAAACUCUGUUAUUAGGGAAGAACAAAUGUGUAAGUAACUGUGCACAUCUUGACGGUACCUAAUCAGAAAGCCACGGCUAACUACGUGCCAGCCGCCGCCGUAA